AUUUCUAUUUCGGACUAUGGUCAACGCCUGCAUAAAAAUUGCUGCUCUGUCUUUCCUUCACUUUUCACGACGCUCUCAGCAACGACGAACAAUACCUGAACUGCUUACGGAAUCCUCUGUUUAUUAGAUUGUCUUUCAAUAGAUUGCUUUAAUGGCUGGAGUCUGACUAGCUUAGGUAUGACAAUAUUGUUCCUGACAGAACACACCACUGGGUUCUCCCACUGCAAAGCGGAACCCACAAGGUUUGCACGUAUGGUUAGUGGAAACACACGGGGCCAUCUUUCAGCGCCAUAGGACCUGAAGGCUUCUUCCACAGAAGGGUCUUCAGACUUGAUUGCUCUGGCAAGCUUUUUGGCAAGAACCACUGAGUCUUCCAGUGCACAACAAGCUCCUUGCCCGAGAUUUGGGGUCAUUGGAUGCCACGCAUCUCCAACCACCACAACUCUUCCAGCAGAAGCACCUGGGCUUAUGGCUGGCCAGAGCCAUCUGUCUACCAAUGGAGUCUUGAUCACAGUAUCAUCUGGUGUAGAAUCCACUAUGUUCAAUAGCUCUGAAGGCCAAUCCUUCACUAGUUCCUUAGCUUGGUUCUUCAGCACCAUUGAGUCUGUUAUUUUUGGACCUGUCAUCGAACAUACACAAUUUUUGUCCAUGAGAUGAUGGUAUAUCAUACUAGUUGCAAUUACAAAGUCAGUGAUUUAACCGUGCAUUUUGUUCGUAUUAACAACCUGGAGAGGGACUAUUGAAGCAGAUGAACCAGUAAACUUUGGUCGGAGAAACAGGAACAAAGCCCGCGCGCAACCCUCUUCCGUAGAUAUAAUUCACUCUUGGUCCAAAAGGUUGUCCAUCAGAAUAAGACGCAAGUCCUCGGAAAGCACAGUGACCAACGUACUUGGGCUCAGGAAAUCCCAUCCAUUUGGCUAUAGGUGAUCGAAUUCCUUCGCACCCUAUCACAGUCUGUUUAGAGAUUAAAUCGUUUUUCUGUUCAUAAUCGACCAUUCUGUCUUAAGUUCCAACAUUUAGUAAAUCAUAGGACACCGUAACACUAAGAUUUUAAUUGUGGCCAGUCAUUUCAUUAACUAAACAUGUGAUGAAUGAUGUCCACUGCAUGCAGCUAGAAAAUUUAGUGCUAUGCUAAUAGUUACAGCACCUUGACUAACCUUUGCAAGCAGCUUUGACCCAUCCACAAGUUCCAACAAGGUAUCCCCGUUUGAAGUGGCUUCAAUGUUUGCUAAUUGUGAAGAAAAUUGAAUGGUAUCCCGUGGUAGCUGACUAGCCAAGGUUUCCAAAAGCACUUUCCUCUCCACUGCACGUACCUCUUGACUGCAUUUCAUGACUUAAUAUCGGUCCUCACUUAUGCUUACAGCCUUAUCAUACCAAUAACCAGUGCUUGAUGACAAUUACAAAUUGUAAGAGAAAAUAAUAAUACUGUUUUCUUUCUAUCAUCAGGGUAUUUUUAUUUAUUUUUUUAAAAAUAGCUUAUAUAAGUUCUGAUUUAGAUAAAAAGUUUAUUUCAUCUCCUUUGAUUGUACUUUUGAAAUAGACUACAAUGGCCUUUUCUGACAAAUGCUGCUUCAAAACACACUUAUAAGCAUCAAUUAUAUGUGUACAUAUCAUGAUUAUCUGCUAAUCAUCCCAAACCAUGCGGGUGAACCAUAAUUCAUUAUCCUAUCCACACACCAUUGAACAUACCUUUCAUCCUCUUGCUUGAAAUUGAAGGCUCGUAGUUCCCUCCCAUCCUCGGACUUCACCACCAUCCUGUACAGCUGAUAAUGUGAACCAGAUCAAGCUCAGCCGGUAUACAGAUUAAAAAUGAUGAAAUUUUUCAAAAGGGUGUUCAUGUAUGCAUCCACGUACCCUUGAAUUUCUAAGAACUGAGUUCUGAGAUCAUCAGCUACUCCAAUUGCAUCGAGUACCCUCCAUCCAUUUUUGAAAAGGGUCAGUGAGGUUCCACCGGUUCGAAGUGACUCUGCCUGCUCCAGAACCAGGGACUGAACUCCAAGCCUGAUGCAUAAAUCAAACAUUAGCCCAACACAGUGAAUAAACAAGAUGGUGGCUAUGAAGAGAGCUGGAAUUGUAACCUGUGAAGGGAGAGAGCAGUUGCAAGGCCUGCGAUCCCAGCACCCACGAUCACAACUUGUUCCUUUGGUACACCAGACUGAAAUUGAGCCUUGAUGACCCUGUAACUUCUGCGGGUUCCAAUUCCAUGUCCAAACCCACCAAUGUUCCUGAAGACAAAGGACGAGGUUGUUGUAGCCAUAGAUGUUGUGAUAUGCUGUGAUAUGUUGAGAGAGGUACGCCAUAUUCAUCACGGUCGUGGGCGGAGAUAGGGGUGUGAAGUGUUUAGCCCUGGACCAUACAAACUAGUGGUGGAAAACAUCUCUUAUAAAAUGUACACUACCAGUCACAAUAUAGAUGUUUCUUAAAUUUCCAAAACUGCAACACAUGAUAAUAUUAUG